UGAGUGAAAUGAUGAAACUCUUAUAGCGGAAUCCAAAUUACAUUGCGGAAACCAACCUUGGAGAACUGAUUACUCA